rnacentral:rRNA from 1 species
CCUGAGAAACCCAAAAGAUCGAAUGGGGAGAUCAUCGUCAGCUCAUUUGUAUAUAUGCAAGUUGUGAUAUGGGUUACUACUUGUAGUAUUGCCUGUACUCUCUUGUAUAUUUAGUUGCAAGAUGUUGUCGGCGUGCAGUUCUCCCCUAGUAGGACGUCGCGACCCGUUGAGUUGUUGGUCUACGGCCCAAGUGGAAGCUUUUAAUGAAUUUUAUUUAUUGAAAACCCUUGGUGUUUCCUGACUGGCACUCGUCGGUAUUCGUAUGAUAUUAAGCCGCAUAUUUAUAUGCGUCCGUUUAUCCUACGCAAGCGAGGUUAGUUACUGAUAGUACGGACCUAGUGCCGUCGUUGGUACUAAUCAGCUGUUGGUUGUAUGGAAUUCUAGGACUGGCGUUAAAAAAAUUAAUAUCGGUCAGCGAUGCUACUGCUUUGG